UUAUAGGCCAGUAAGCCUGAUUUCAGUACAGGGCAAGCUGGUUGAAACUACAAAAUUGUCAGAUACAUAGGUAAACAUAAUUUGUUGGGGAAUAAUCAACAUGGUUUUUGUAAAAGGUUAUCAUGCCUCACCAAUCUACUAGAAUUUUUUGAGGGGGUCAACAAGCACGUGGACGAGGGCGAUCCAGAGGAUAUAGUGUAUUUAGAUUUUCAGAAAGCCUUUGACAAGGUCCCUCCCCAAAGGCUCUUAAGCAAAGUAAGCAAUCAUGGGAUAAGAGGGAAAGUCCUUUCCUGGAUCAGUAACUGGUUAAAAGAUAGGAAACAAAGUGUAGGAAUUGUAGAACUGAUAAAUGAAAUUGUUUUUAAUUUAUUAAUGUAACUUCUGUUCACCAUCCACACUACACUUGCCUACACUGUAACUUCUGUUCCAUAUUGUAAUUCAAACCUCAUUUUAAAACACUCACUCCAUUUUGUAAAAGCUUCCUCCAACCUUCAUUUUUGCAAACCCUGCUGUAAUCUUAUUAGUUUAGUUUAGAUGUGUGAAUGAGGUAUGUAUGAAUGAUGGAAUCACCCUCCAGCCCCAGCCUGUCCUGAUGAGAUAAAGUUCAAAUACCAACGGCUGAAGACCUAGACAACAGCCCUAAACAAAGUAAGAAGCAUCCACCCUAAAAAGAAAAGGACAACAGAACAACAGAAGGAAGAUCAAAGCCAGGUCCAAGGCUGAAAGUCACGCCUGCAAUUGAUGGGUGAUCAAUCUAAACCCAGAGGCAGCGUGACACAGCAAGACCUAUAGACUUUGAAUCCAAACUAAAAGCCUAUAAAAAAGAAGGGUGAGAUGAGAAACUCUGGGUAACAUUCUGCUGCCAACAUGGAAGAACAUCGGUGCCUGCCCAACAGAGAUCCAGCUUGUCCUUGUGCCCGGCUUUCCUGGCCAGUUAGCUGCCACAAGCUACGAACCCAAGCUGCAAAAUCAAGCCAUGAACUUAAGCUAUCUUCAGGACUGGUAACUAUGCAGCAGCUGCAGAACACCUGAUGAAUGUGGGUGUGUAUGUGUGUGUGUAAUAGGUAUAAUGUGUGUGUAUAAGAAUUAAGAUAUUAGUUAUUAGUCAUAAAUUGUUAUCAUAAUAAAUGUGGCAUCUUUGCCUUGUCCCCUUUAAUAA